UGUGAUAGCCAUGCACUCCAGCCUGAGUGACCAAUUUUUGAGGAGAUGCAACAAAUAAGACCCCCUGUCCCUGCAUUUCCCGGAAGUGAGUUCUGAAUGAACUGAGAAAUGAAGCAAGAGUCAAGCAGAAGGGGCCAGACAGCGCCUUUGUCACCCGCAGAGCUGGGAUUGCAGGCGAGCCAGCGUCCUGAUACUGCCCAGGCCGUGGCCGAUGCACUGCCCAUGCAGGCAGCAUUAACACGGUCCAGCCUGUGGCUGGAGGGCAGGAGGAGGAGCACACCCACGGGGGCAGCCCAGCGCUCUGCCCUCUCCUCCCAGACUCCCCAUGACCCUGCUCAUGCCUCUCCCAGGCAGGAGCAUCCCUCUGCAGAGGUCCUGUACGCUCACAGCACAUGUUCCGUGUUAUUUGGGGAUUGAAGAUUCUCAAGUAUACACACAGCCACCCUUUUUGGUAGUAGUUAUAAAAAUCACACCAGUAUGGUUCUCUUGUGCAUUGACAUGGUAUUGCUUUAAAGGGCAUAACCUACACUCACUUCAGUAACGUGCUUUCAGAGGAUGUACCCAAGAAAAGGAUCUGUGUGCCCUUGGUCACCACAGACUCCCACUGGGUUUGGCUCGGGGUCUCUUGACUUCCCUGAGGUCAGGCACAUCGCAGAAAGACAAAGGAGGAUACCCUGAAGCCGAGCCUCCCAAUGACAGUACAAGGCACCCUGUUACCACAGGUCAUAGAAAAUGUGGGACCCUCUACGUCGGAGCUCAGGGCAUAGAUUGAUGCACUUCCAGGAGAGACACUGACGGGGCGGUUAAAGAGAUAUAGGGAGACCCCCAGUGCCGUUCAUGUGACCUCAGAAUUCAGAGAGCCUGAAGCCUUCAGAGCAAGACGUUUUUCCAAGAAACCGUAAAGUUUGCACCAACCGUAGCCCCUGGGCAUCCAUUUUUUUGGUUGUCAAAUUAUUUUUAGUUUAAAAAAUCUGUAUCUGUCAAUUUAUCUUGAAGGGAUAAAUGCAUACUAGCCUUUUUAGCUGUGUGGUUUCUUUUCAUAUGCAGCUUGAAAGGUAUUUUUGAUUCAUCUAUAAAGUGUUCAUCAGCUACAUUUGAGUAGCUAAAUCAUAGGCCCUUUUUGGAAGGAUUUUUUAAAGUACAGUCCUACAUCACUCAAUCAUGGGGACAUUCUUUCUGAGAAAUGCAUCAUCAGUCGAUUUCAUCGAACACCUAGAGUGCCCUCAAACCCAGAUGGUACAGCCUACUGCUACACACCUAGGCUCUGUGGCAUAGCCUAUUGCUCCUGGGCUGCAAACCUGUACAGCACGUGACAGUGCUGAACACGGUAGCAAGUGUAACACAAGUAGGUAUCUGUAUAUCUAAACAUAGAAAAGCUAAGUCAAAAUACAGUGUUGUCAUCUUAUGGGACCGCUGUCUCAUGCAGUGCAUGACUGUAUACAACUUCAAAGCUUUGCCGGUUGUCUUGGUUUUCUUUAAACAGUUUUGGAGUUUUUUUUUUUUAAUAAAGAUUUUUAACUAAUGGA